rnacentral:lncRNA from 1 species
AUGGAGGAUAAUAAGAGUUUAAAUGAAGAUGAUCCACAUGAUCAUCAAAGUUUGGAAGGUCAAGUCCAGAAAAUGAAGAAUGAUAUCCUGGGUUUAAACUAUCCAGAAGAUAGUGAAGUGAAGGAUCCCCUGCCUCAGAUCGAGCUGAAGGCUGUGACAAGGAGAGAAGUUAAGACCAAGAGGAGGACCAGUGCCAACAGGUCCACAGUUGAACAGAGCACUGAUAGUGAUGCGGCUGAGAGAGAUUUUGUUGAUAAUCAGAAUGAUGAAGAUGAGGAAAAGGUGAAGAAGGAUCCCCUGCCUCAGAUGCAGCAGGAUGCCGUGAAAAGAAAUAAAGUCAAGGUAAGGGAAUAGAUUGAGCAGAGAUGUGGAUAUUUGUGAUAUCUUUCAUAUCUAUAACCUGCCCCUACAGCAUGUUGUUCCGAGGAAGGUAAAUUGCCCAUGCAAUAACCUUUUAUCUCCUAAUAGUAAAUCUAGGGCUGACCCCAUUUGGUCGACAGUUUGGUCGAUAGGCUGUUGGUUGACUGGGAUUUCUUAAGUCGAGCAGCCGUUAUAUCAUGUAAAAAUAAUGGGGUAACACUAAUAAAUCAAAUAUUAUUUUAUAACAAAUGCGCUUUCUCCUGCAUUGGAUACGGUCGCUGUCCAUGGUUCUGAAACAUAAUCCUCAGUGCUCCGUAGAAUUGCCGCCCUUUCCUAUGUUGCUAUGUGCAUAAUAACAAAGUUAACCAGCAUAUUGGGAUUGAGAACAAUGCUGCAGAGGCAGCAGCAGAGACGGGGAAACAGCCCUGGCCUUAGCCUAAUUGUCUAAGAAAAUUGAGGAGAGAG